AGUGAACGCUGGCGGUAGGCCUAACACAUGCAAGUCGAACGGCAGCACAGUAAGAGCUUGCUCUUACGGGUGGCGAGUGGCGGACGGGUGAGGAAUACAUCGGAAUCUACUUUUUCGUGGGGGAUAACGUAGGGAAACUUACGCUAAUACCUCAUACGACCUACGGGUGAAAGCAGGGGAUCUUCGUACCUUGCGCGAUUGAAUGAGCCGAUGUCGGAUUAGCUAGUUGGCGGGGUAAAGGCCCACCAAGGCGACGAUCCGUAGCUGGUCUGAGAGGAUGACCAGCCACACUGGAACUGAGACACGGUCCAGACUCCUACGGGAGGCAGCAGUGGGGAAUAUUGGACAAUGGGCGCAAGCCUGAUCCAGCCAUACCGCGUGGGUGAAGAAGGCCUUCGGGUUGUAAAGCCCUUUUGUUGGGAAAGAAAAGCAGCAGGUUAAUACCCCGCUGUUCUGACGGUACCCAAAGAAUAAGCACCGGCUAACUUCGUG
rnacentral:rRNA from 1 species